rnacentral:rRNA from 1 species
CUCCGAAGAGGCAUUGGGUCAACUUGCACCCUGGCGGCUUGGUUCAUUUGGAAACACCGCAAAGUAGUCAACUUUGAAGGCUUAAACCCCUAUACAACAGUUAUUAUUCGCGCCAUCCAAGACGAGGCUCGCUGUUGGGCCAAGGCUGGAGCAACAGGGUUAGAUGCAUUGAUCCCUAUAAAUUGCUAG